GUGGGGAAUAUUGGACAAUGGGCGCAAGCCUGAUCCAGCAAUGCCGCAUGGGUGAAGAAGGUCUUCGGAUUGUAAAGCCCUUUCGGCGGGGACGAUGAUGACGGUACCCGCAGAAGAAGCCCCGGCUAACUUCGUGCCAGCAGCCGCGGUAAUACGAAGGGGGCUAGCGUUGCUCGGAAUGACUGGGCGUAAAGGGCGCGUAGGCGGAUCGGACAGUCGGGCGUGAAAUUCCUGGGCUUAACCUGGGGACUGCGUUCGAGACGUUUGGUCUAGAGUGGGGAAGAGGGUCGUGGAAUUCCCAGUGUAGAGGUGAAAUUCGUAGAUAUUGGGAAGAACACCGGUGGCGAAGGCGGCGACCUGGUCCUUGACUGACGCUGAGGCGCGAAAGCGUGGGGAGCAAACAGGAUUAGAUACCCUGGUAGUCCACGCUGUAAACGAUGUGCGCUGGAUGUUGGGCGGCUUAGCCGUUCAGUGUCGUAGCUAACGCGGUAAGCGCACCGCCUGGGGAGUACGGCCGCAAGGU
rnacentral:rRNA from 1 species